UACAGAGGGUGCGAGCGUUAAUCGGAAUUACUGGGCGUAAAGCGUGCGUAGACGGUUUCGUAAGUCGGGUGUGAAAUCCCCGGGCUCAACCUGGGAAUUGCAUUCGAAACUGCGAGGCUAGGGUACGGAAGAGGGAAGCGGAAUUUCUGGUGUAGCGGUGAAAUGCGUAGAUAUUCGGAAGAACACCAGUGGCGAAGGCGACUCACUGGACGACUGUUGACGCUGAGGUGCGAAAGCGUGGGGAGCAAACAGG
rnacentral:rRNA from 1 species